rnacentral:rRNA from 1 species
AUACGGAGGAUCCGAGCGUUAUCCGGAUUUAUUGGGUUUAAAGGGUGCGCAGGCGGCCAUUUAAGUCAGCGGUUAAAUCGUGGGGCUCAACCCCAUUCUGCCGUUGAUACUGGGUGGCUUGAUUGCGGUCGAGGUUGGCGGAAUUCGUUGUGUAGCGGUGAAAUGCAUAGAUAUGACGAAGAACACCGAUUGCGUAGGCAGCUGACCAGAUCGCAAAUGACGCUCAUGCACGAAAGUGCGGGGAGCGAACAGGAUUAGAUACCCUGGUAGUCCGCAUAGUAAACGAUGAAUACUUGUUUUAGGCGAUAUAAUGUCGGAUGCAAAGCGAAAGCGAUAAGUAUUCCACCUGGGGAGUACGCCGGCAACGGUGAAACUCAAAUUAAUUGACGGGG